UACGUAGGUGGCAAGCGUUGUCCGGAUUUACUGGGCGUAAAGAGCGCGCAGGCGGUUGGAUAAGUCGAAUGUGAAAGCCCCCGGCUCAACUGGGGAGGGUCAUUCGAUACUGUCCGACUCGAAGGCAGGAGAGGGAAGCGGAAUUCCCGGUGUAGUGGUGAAAUGCGUAGAUAUCAGGAGGAACACCGAUGGCGAAGGCAGCUCGCUGGGACGGUACUGACGCUGAGGCGCGAAAGCCAGGGGAGCGAACGGG
rnacentral:rRNA from 1 species